CCUACGGGGUGCAGCAGUGAGGAAUAUUGGUCAAUGGACGAGAGUCUGAACCAGCCAAGUAGCGUGAAGGAUGACUGCCCUAUGGGUUGUAAACUUCUUUUAUAUGGGAAUAAAAUGUUCCACGUGUGGGAUUUUGUAUGUACCAUAUGAAUAAGGAUCGGCUAACUCCGUGCCAGCAGCCGCGGUAAUACGGAGGAUCCGAGCGUUAUCCGGAUUUAUUGGGUUUAAAGGGAGCGUAGGUGGAUUGUUAAGUCAGUUGUGAAAGUUUGCGGCUCAACCGUAAAAUUGCAGUUGAAACUGGCAGUCUUGAGUACAGUAGAGGUGGGCGGAAUUCGUGGUGUAGCGGUGAAAUGCGUAGAUAUCACGAAGAACUCCGAUUGCGAAGGCAGUUCACUGGACUGCAACUGACACUGAGGCUCGAAAGUGUGGGUAUCAAACAGGAUUAGAUACCCUAGUAGUC
rnacentral:rRNA from 1 species